UACGGGGGGGGCAAGCGUUGUUCGGAAUUACUGGGCGUAAAGGGCUCGUAGGCGGCCAACUAAGUCGGAUGUGAAAUCCCCAGGCUCAACCUGGGAACUGCGUCUGAUACUGGUUGGCUUGAAUCCGGGAGAGGGAUGCAGAAUUCCAGGUGUAGCGGUGAAAUGCGUAGAUAUCUGGAGGAAUACCGGUGGCGAAGGCGGCAUCCUGGACCGGCAUUGACGCUGAGGAGCGAAAGCUAGGGGAGCAAACGGG
rnacentral:rRNA from 1 species